ensembl:lncRNA
ACAACAGUGUUCCUUCUGCGUAGUUUGCUUUUUGUAUAGACCGACAAGAAAUAAGGAAGCAAAUGGACUGUCUGUAUUUUUGUCCCCGAAGUACCAAAGGCCGCUCUUUUCCUUUAAGAAGAGCUUGGCCCUUGGGCUUGCUAUUCUAGCUAACUUCCAGUAAUUUAUUCUGGACUUGGCUCUGCACUGGACUGCACACUGUAAUUUCUACUUGGCAAUUUGCUUCCUUGCUCACACGAAGAUCAGUAAGUUUGUGGAAACAAAUCCACCAUCCCUUAUAGGAUUUUCAAUAUUGGAGCUUUAACAAUAGCAUCAUCAGAUAAUUUCUUGUUAUUCGUGUCUGUUGGAGAGCCAGGAGUUAUCAGAGAGCUCCAUCAGUGUGCAAAGGGGUGUGGUGGCUCCGUUAGUUUCUUUCCGAACAAUGGAUUUCCUGUGAAGGUAAACUUACACUCCAGAACAGCCUGAUCUAUUUUAUAACCUGAAACAGAAAGGUGGAACACUUUAUCUGUGGCUUACAAGCAAAAUGCUAUCACCUACUCAAAUAAUGACUCCAGCUGUCCUCCCUCCCAGCACUGCCUUUGCAAAUGGUUUAUACACACACUCGCAAAGGAGGAGCAGCUGAUGCAAGACCUGCCACAGAAAGACGGUCCAAAGGACUGACCCAGCAGCUCAUGUGAAACUCUGCGGAGUUCUGGACAUAAAUACAUCUGUGAACCAAAACCAGUCAGGACAAACACUCUUAAUUGAAUUAAACUUUCAUUAAGCUUGAUUAUUUUAUUUUGCUUUUGACAAAGGCCUUUGCAUUUAUUAUUACAUCUGUGGCUAAAACUGAAAUAGUUUCUAAAUUUCCCAUGGGUAGCUCAUUGUUGUUUCACCCACCAGUGCCUGGCACAAGGGGGAAAACGGUGAGAAAAGCAAGCCAAAUCAAUUUAUCAGUAGUGCUAACUUAUCAGCCCUUUCUCAAAUCACAUGCCCCACAGUGUAACUCGAAUGACCAGUUUUUCCUUCCAUUAGCAAGUACAUUAAGGGAAAGUGAUCUCCCUGCCAGCAAGUGUCAGAUGCACCAGAUACUGUAUCCUAUCUGGACAUUAAAGUUAUAUGCAGGGCCUCCGGCUGGAUUUCGGUUUGGUUUCUAGCAACAUCAGCACAAAGGAACGACCGUGGCUAACAAACAAGUAUAAAGUACAACUUUUUAUCUCCUGAAGUAAAACAAUCUUCCCACAACCAUAAAUUAUCUACCAGUAAAGAAAUUCAGCCUUGACUCCUAGCAGCAGAAAGUAGAAGAGGCCCUUCUCCUGCAGCCAGCCUCCUCUGCUGCAGCCCUGGUCAUGGACAACACCAGCUCUGUCCUCCCCACAUCCUGCUGGAAAGGGGCAUUCCCAGCACCAACAGAAUUCCAGGAGACCUAGGGAAAAGCAGUUGACUGAUGUGUGAGAUGAGCCACAACAGCACGUAGUUCGUGGUAGAUAGACCAGAGAGAGCAACAGAUACAAUCUGUCUAGUCUUACAUUGGCAAACACGAACAAAAAUUUAUUACCAAACUCCACCUAACUGAAUUUACCUUUUUACAGUGUGGCCACAGAACAGCUGCUGCGCCUAUUUCAAAAUGCCAGCUCACAGAAACACAACAGCUGAAGGAUCACUGCUGGGUACUGAAGAGAAACCUUUAUGCUAUUUUGUUACUCAAAACUUAAGUCUCCUUCCUACUAAAUAAAUAAAUAAAUACAAAUACAUGAAGUGGCUUUUGCUGUCUUUGUGGAAUAGUGAAACA